rnacentral:rRNA from 1 species
AUUGAACGCUGGCGGCAGGCCUAACACAUGCAAGUCGAACGAGUGGCGGACGGGUGAGUAAUGUCUGGGAAACUGCCUGAUGGAGGGGGAUAACUACUGGAAACGGUAGCUAAUACCGCAUACCAUCAGAUGUGCCCAGAUGGGAUUAGCUUGUUGGUGGGGUAACGGCUCACCAAGGCGACGUUCCCUAGCUGGUCUGAGAGGAUGACGAGCCACGCUGAAACUGAGCCACGGUCCAGCCUCCUAGGGGAGGCAGCGGUGGGGAAUAUUGCACAAUGGGCGCAGGCCUGCUGCAGCCAGGCCGCGUGGAUGAAGAAGGCCUUCGGGUUGUAAAGUACGUUCAGCGGGGAGGCGUUACCCGCAGAAGAAGCACCGGCUACCUCCGUGCCAGCCGCCGCGUUAAUC